CGUAAAUCUUGGGGAGGGGAGUAUGAUCUAAUCCUGUGCUCCUUGCCCUUAGAGAAGCGAAAUUUUUCUGACUUUUUCUUAAUUGACAGGUAGUACCUCCAAGAGAAGAAAUAGCCCAUCUCUCACACACAUCUCAUCACAUUACCUUGUUUGUUUUCAUGUUUAUGAUCUGCCUGUCCCUCCAAAACUGGCAUGAAAACUCCACAACAGAGGAAGUCCUAUCUAUAUUGUUCCGAGUGUGGCACAUAGUAGGUAUUUUUGUUGGACCAGUGAACCAAUGAAUGAAGUUCUACCGCUGAUAUGCAAAGAAGUACCUGGUCACAGAAUUAUCACCCUGAGCACCAGGACUUCAACCAAAAUGGAAUCCUACAUGGAAUUAUCCCUCAGAAGGCCCUGCUUGUCAACAUUGGCUACCUUAGCCUACCAAGACCAGUGGAGGGGCAAAUGUCCAGGAACAAUGGAGGACCAGCCCUCUACUUUGGAAACAAGGACUCCGAAAGAGCAGAAGAGGCUAAAAUCUCUGCAAGAACUUCUUUCACCUGCCCGGGAAGGCUUCCUGACGGCGUCUGGUUUCCCCGGCCCCGCAGCUGAGGCUGCUCCGUGCAGGCUCGCAGCUCCCAGCCCCAGCUGAGUGAGGCAUCCCAGCGCUGCAGCGGAGGUUACUCAGCACCUAGAGGCUCCCGUGGCCUUGCCAGCCAUGAUGUAAAGGUAUAUGCUGGGCUGCUGUCACUCUGACAGAUCACCCUACCAGCUCAAAGGAGAGGAAGGGAGAGGGAUAGAGAGGGUUAGAA